rnacentral:rRNA from 1 species
CAGCGCCACGAGUGGCAAUCAUGUUUACUUGGCCUAAAGCGUCCGUAGCCUGUUUGAUAAAUCUCUUGUGAAAUUGUUGGGCCUAACUCAACAACGUGCAGGAGACACUAUUUUACUUGGGACCGGGAGGAGUCAGAGGUAUUCCUUGGGGAGCGGUAAAAUGCUAUAAUCCUUGGAAGACCACCUGUGGCGAAGGCGUCUGACCAGAACGGAUCCGACGGUGAGGGACGAAAGCUAGGGGAGCGAACCGGAUUAGAUACCCGAGUAGUCC